rnacentral:misc_RNA from 1 species
UCCGGUUUGACACCGGCAGUCUCGCUAGAGUCCUCGCCAUUACGCGUUAGCAACUAACGACAGGGGUUGCGCUCGUUAAGGGACUUAACCCGACACUUCACAGCACGAGCUGACGACAGCCAUGCAGCACCUGUGCAUGUUCCAUUCUUGCGAUUGUCAUUGAUGUUUCCACCAACUAAUCCAUGCAUGUCAAACCCAGGUAAGGUUCUUCGCGUUGCUUCGAAUUAAGCAACAUGCUCCACCGCUUGUGUGAGCCCCCGUCAAUUCCUUUGAGUUUUAGCCUUGCGACCGUACUUCCCAGGCGGUACACUUAACAAUUUCUCUCCGACCGGUACCGGGUCAAACCGGCACCGAUCUAGUGUACAUCGUUUACGGCGUGGACUAC